GCCCUUCAGAGGGGGACAACAGUUGGAAACGACUGCUAAUACCGCAUACGAUCUAACCUUGGCAUCGAGGAUGGAUGAAAGGUGGCCUCUAUUUAUAAGCUAUCACUGAAGGAGGGGAUUGCGUCUGAUUAGCUAGUUGGAGGGGUAACGGCCCACCAAGGCGAUGAUCAGUAGCCGGUCUGAGAGGAUGAACGGCCACAUUGGGACUGAGACACGGCCCAGACUCCUACGGGAGGCAGCAUG
rnacentral:rRNA from 1 species